rnacentral:rRNA from 1 species
AUUGAACGCUGGCGGAAUGCUUUACACAUGCAAGUCGAACGGCAGCACGGACUUCGGUCUGGUGGCGAGUGGCGAACGGGUGAGUAAUGUAUCGGAACGUGCCCAGUCGUGGGGGAUAACGUAGUGAAAAUUACGCAAAUACCGCAUACGAUCUAUGGAUGAAAGCGGGGGAUCUCAAGACCUCGCGCGAUUGGAGGGGCCGAUAACAGAUUAGGUAGUGGGUGGGGUAAAGGCCCACCAAGCCAACGAUCUGUAGCUGGUCUGAGAGGACGACCAGCCACACUGGAACUGAGACACGGUCCAGACUCCUACGGGAGGCAGCAGUGGGGAAUUUUGGACAAUGGGCGAAAGCCUGAUCCAGCCAUUCCGCGUGCAGGAUGAAGGCCCUCGGGUUGUAAACUGCUUUUGUACAGAACGAAAAGGUUUCUACUAAUACUAGGAGCUCAUGACGGUACUGUAAGAAUAAGCACCGGCUAACUACGUGCCAGCAGCAGCCGCGG